rnacentral:rRNA from 1 species
CGUAGGGUGCGAGCGUUAAUCGGAAUUACUGGGCGUAAAGCGUGCGCAGGCGGUUUUGUAAGACAGGCGUGAAAUCCCCGGGCUCAACCUGGGAACUGCGCUUGUGACUGCAAGGCUAGAGUACGGCAGAGGGGGGUGGAAUUCCACGUGUAGCAGUGAAAUGCGUAGAGAUGUGGAGGAACACCAAUGGCGAAGGCAGCCCCCUGGGUCGAUACUGACGCUCAUGCACGAAAGCGUGGGUAGCAAACAGGAUUAGAUACCCCGGUAGUCCACGCCCUAAACGAUGUCAACUAGGUGUUGGGUGGGUAAAACCAUUUAGUACCGGAGCUAACGCGUGAAGUUGACCGCCUGGGAGUACGGCCGCAAGGUUA